rnacentral:tRNA from 1 species
GCGGAUGUGGUGGAACGGUAUACACGCUAGCCUAAGGAGCUAGUCCCGAAAGGGGUGGAAGUUCGAAUCUUCUCAUCCGCA